AAAUACUACCCAGUGACCGAUAGCGUAUAGUACUGUGAAGGAAAGGUGAAAAGGACCCCGGGAGGGGAGUGAAAUAGAACCUGAAACCUUGUGCCUACAAGCACAUAGAGCACAUCAACGUGUGAUAUGGUACUUUUUGUAGAACGGUCCGGCGAGCGAUUGUAUGUUGCGAGCUUAAGGUCUUAAGGACUGGAGGCGUAGCGAGAGCGAGUCUAAACAGGGCGUUUAGUAGCGUGCAAUGGGCCCGAAACCGGGUGACCUACCCAUGAUCAGGCUGAAGUGAAAGUAAAAUUUCAUGGAGGGCCGAACCGACCUCCGUUGAAAAGGCGGCGGAUGAAUUGUGGGUAGCGGAGAAAUUCCAAUCGAACUCGGAGAUAGCUGGUUCUCCCCGAAAUAGCUUUAGGGCUAGCCUCAUAUUAGAUACCCGGAGGUAAAGCACUGAAUGGCCUAGCGCCCGAGAGGGUAGCGAAGCCUAUCAAACUAAGAAUGCCGGAGUAUUGAUGUAUGGGAGUCAGACAGUGUGAGAUAAAUCUCAUUGUCAAAAGGGAAACAGCCCAGAUCUACAGCUAAGGUCCCAAAUUGUAUCUAAGUGGAAAACGAUGUGGAAAUACGCAGACAACCAGGAUGUUGGCUCAGAAGCAGCCACUCAUUUAAAGAGUGCGUAAUAGCUCACUGGUCGAGCGUCUCUGCGCGGAAAAUUUAACGGGGCUAAGAUACAAACCGAAGCUUAGGCUGCACGUAAGUGCGGGGUAGGGGAGCGUUGUGUAAGCGGAGAAACAGUAGCGUAAGCGGCUGUGGAGUUUACAGAAGUGAGAAUGCCGGAAUGAGUAGCGCGAAUGUGGUGAGAAUCCACAUGGCCGGAAACCUCAGGUUUUUGGAGGAAGGUUCGUCCGCUCCAAGUUAGGCGGGAGCUAAGGUCAGGCCGAAAGGCGUAGCCGAUGCACAGACGGUAGAGAUUCCGUCCCCACCGAAAGAUUUAAGCACAGGGACACUUUUUGAAGGUCGGAGCCAGGUGUUGGUUCUGGUAGUGAUCGAGGGAAAUAUAGUACCGAAGUCCGGCUGGAAGAGAGGCGAGAAAAGCUGUGUGUAUAUCUAAGGUGCCCGUACCGCAAACCGACACAGGUAGGUAGGAAGAAGAUUCUAAGGCCAACGGGAGAAGGGUUGUUAAGGAACUCGGCAAAUUGACCCCGUAACUUCGGGAGAAGGGGUGCUGCAGCAAUGCAGCCGCAGAGAAUCGGCCCAAGCAACUGUUUACCAAAAACACAGGUUUGUGCUAAAUCGAAAGAUGACGUAUACGAGCUGACGCCUGCCCGGUGCUGGAAGGUUAAGAGGAGAUGUGCAAGCAUUGAAUCGAAGCCCCAGUGAACGGCGGCCGUAACUAUAACGGUCCUAAGGUAGCGAAAUUCCUUGUCAGGUAAGUUCUGACCCGCAUGAAAGGCGUAAUGAUUUGGGCACUGUCUCAACAGCCCGCCCGGCGAAAUUGUAGUACCGGUGAAGAUGCCGGUUACCCGCGACAAGACGGAAAGACCCCAUGGAGCUUUACUGUAGCCUAAUAUUGGGUUUCGAUGUUGCAUGCACAGGAUAGAUGGGACACUGGGAAGCAGGUGCUUUGGCGCUUGUGGAGUGGCCGUUGGGAUACCAUCCUUGCGAUAUUGGAAUUCUAACCUGCGCCUUUGAAUCAAGGCGGGGGACAUUGUUAGGUGGGCAGUUUGACUGGGGCGGUCGCCUCCUAAAGAGUAACGGAGGCGUUCAAAGGUUCGCUCAGCUUGAACGGAAAUCAAGCAAAAGAGUGCAAACGCAGAAGCGAGCCUAACUGCGAGACUGACGGGUCGAGCAGUAACGAAAGUUGGAGUUAGUGAUCCGGUGGUAUGUGAGUGGAAAUGCCAUCGCUCAACGGAUAAAAGUUACCCUGGGGAUAACAGGCUGAUCUCCCCCAAGAGUCCACAUCGACGGGGAGGUUUGGCACCUCGAUGUCGGCUCAUCGCAUCCUGGGGCUGUAUUCGGUCCCAAGGGUUUGGCUGUUCGCCAAUUAAAGCG
rnacentral:rRNA from 1 species